AUACUUACCUGGCAAGGGAGAUACCAUGAUCACGAAGGUGGCUUUCCCAAGGUAAGGCUUAUCCAUUGCACCCCAAAUGUGCUGACCCCUGCGAUUUCCCCAAAUGUGGGAAACUCGACUGCAUAAUAUGUGGUAGUGGGGGACUGUGUUUGCGCUCUCCCCUA
rnacentral:snRNA from 1 species